rnacentral:rRNA from 1 species
UGAGUACGAGAUGCUACGGCGUCGAAGCAGUCUAUGUCAUACUUCCAAGAAAAGCUUGCACUGUCAUAAACAAAUAAUGCCUGUACCAUAACCGACACAGGUGGGUAGGUAGAGUAUACUAAGGGGCGCGAGAUAACUCUCUCUAAGGAACUCGGCAAAAUGACUCCGUAACUUCGGGAGAAGGAGUGCCUUAUUUAUAAGGUUGCAAUAACAAGACCCAAGCAACUGUUUAUCAAAAACACAGGUCUCCGCUAAGUCGUAAGACGAUGUAUGGGGGCUGACGCCUGCCCAGUGCCAGAAGGUUAAAGAAGUUGGUUAGCUUUUGCGAAGCUGAUGACUGAAGCCCUGGUGAACGGCGGCCGUAACAAUAACGGUCCUAAGGUAGCGAAAUUCCUUGUCGGGUAAGUUCCGACCCGCACGAAAGGCGUAAUGAUUUGGGUACUGUCUCAGAGAGGGACUCGGUGAAAUAGACUUGUCUGUGAAGAUGCGGACUACCUGCACCUGGACAGAAAGACCCUAUGAAGCUUUACUGUAACUUGAAAUUGAAAUUGGACUUUAUUUGCGCAGUAUAGGUGGGAGGCUUUGAAGAUAUUCUUGCGGGAAUGUUGGAGCCAUCAGUGAGAUACCACUCUUGUAAUGUUAGAUUUCUAACUUUGUAUCAUUAUCUGGUCAAAGAACAGUUUCAGGCGGGCAGUUUGACUGGGGCGGUCGCCUCCUAAACGGUAACGGAGGCGCACAAAGGUUUCCUCUGAACGGGUAGAAAUCGUAUCUAGAGUGUAAAGGCAUAAGGAAGCUUGACUGUGAGACCUACAAGUCGAGCAGGGACGAAAGUCGGUCUUAGUGAUCUGACGGUGCUGAGUGGAAAGGCCGUCACUCAACGGAUAAAAGUUACUCUAGGAUAACAGGCUGAUCUCCCCCAAGAGUUCACAUCGACGGGGAGAUUUGGCACCUCGAUGUCGGCUCAUCGCAUCCUGGGGCGGUAGUACGUCCCAAGGGUUGGGCUGUUCGCCCAUGAAAGCGGUACGCGGGCUGGGUUCAGAACGUCGUGAGACAGUUCGGUCCAUAUCCGGUGUAGGCGUUAGAAUAUUGAGAGGAGCCUUCUCUAGUACGAGAGGACCGAGAAGGACAUACCUCUGGUGUACCAGUUAUCGUGCCAACGGUAAACGCUGGAUAGCUAUGUGUGGAGUGGAUAACCGCUGAAAGCAUCUAAGUGGGAAGCCCACCUCAAGAUAAGUAUUCUCAUC